UACGUAGGGGGCGAGCGUUGUCCGGAUUCAUUGGGCGUAAAGCGCGCGCAGGCGGCCGCGAGAGCCCGGCGUGAAAGCCCCCGGCUCAACCGGGGGAGGCCGUCGGGGACCUCGGGGCUGGAGGCCGGUAGGGGCGAGCGGAAUUCCUGGUGUAGCGGUGAAAUGCGCAGAUAUCAGGAGGAACACCGGUGGCGAAGGCGGGUCUCUGGGCCGAUACUGACGCUGAGGAGCGAAAGCGUGGGGAGCGAACAGG
rnacentral:rRNA from 1 species